UCCUAAGAGAAUCCAACGGCGGCAGCAGCAGCUUCCCCACAAAAUCACCAUUUGGACGUUGAACUCCAAGUUCGAGUGGGAGGUGCAUUGUAAGAUCAACCUGGAUUGUCUCUCGGCACAACCUCUUUACCGAGGUCUACCUCGGCGUCUUCCUGAGUUCCCAGUCAUCAGCAUGGAUGACCCGGGUGUUCUGUGCUGCCUGCUGAGGGUGAAGGAAUUUGGUGGCAAGGAGCGGAUGAUCAUGGUUGACAUGAACCAUGCGGAUCUGCAGUCAUGUACUGAUGUGAAUGUAGAAGACAAGUUCUCUAAUACCACCCAACUUCCAACUGUCUUCUCCAAAUACCUUCAAAAGGCCAACAGGGAUGGCAUGGGACAACAUUGAGCUUACUUCAUUGAAAUGCAAGUCUGCAAUAUGAAGACCUGUAAUCUGGUGACUGAAGGUGAAAACUUUGCGGAUGCUCAAAUCAAAGAUGUUGUUUGUCAAUGACGCGGUGCAGGCAGAACAGUUUGAUGAUGUACUGAUGAAUAUCUAUUGGAGUAACGCUACAUGUUCUGGAUCAUGUAAUCAUAUGUUUAAGCGUUAAAAGUAUGAGAUUGAAUAUCUUUUCUUUCAUGAAAAUUGAAUUGAGGGUAA